AUGUUCCAAGGGCAAAGUGGCAGUGAGACACACACAAUACCACCUGAACCUGAGAGAGCUCCUAACACAGAGUCCCCAAUAGCAGAAGAUGAUGAUGAAUCUUUGACUGUAGAUGGAUCUGAUUCUAUAGAUGAGGACAGUGAUGAUGAUAUUUAUGACAUCGUGCCUGAUCCUGGGUUGAGGACUCCUAUCUCAAGCUAUGAUGUUAAUGACCAAGAUUCGGUUAGAAGGGCCUACAUUGCAUUGGGACGAUGUAAACCAAAGAUGGAGAAGAAAGAUUUUCCGCAACAUAACUGCGGAGGUAAGCGUCGCUUCCAACCGGUUUGGUUUGAUGAGUACAAGUGGCUUGAGUAUAGUGUGGAUAAAGAUGCGGCAUAUUGUUUUGUUUGCUAUUUGUUCAAUAGUAUAGUGUGGAACAUGAACGCGAGAUUUCGUAAGCAUGUUGGUGAGGUCAAUAGUGCUCAUUGUGAAGCCGAAGAGAAAUAUAAUUUGUUCAUCAAACCUAAAGCAUCAAUCCGUGAGGCAAUGGCCUCACAAACCACACAGUACAAGGCUCAAUAUCUAGCUCGGUUGAAAUGGUCACUUGAGUGCAUAAAAUUUAUUUUGCAUCAGGGGUUGGCUUUUCGUGGUCAUGAUGAGGGAAAGGAUUCAAAAAAUAAAGGAAAUUUUUGA
rnacentral:rRNA from 1 species